rnacentral:lncRNA from 1 species
GCCAAAGCCCUCCACCUCCCCCUCCCACCAAAGAAGACUGCCAAGGGCUCCCUCUGGAAUCACUCGCAUCCAUUCAUUCAACACACAAGAGGUGGAGCAGCCAUCCUGCCACCAAGAGAUGACAAGAGGAUGAAAGUCACAGUGAGGAAAGAAAUGGCAGUCUGUAAUGCUAUCAUGUGGUAUUGCAUCAGCCCUGGACAAGUUCUACUUUGGAGCAAAUGAAGCUUUUUAGGUA